UACGAAGGGUGCAAGCGUUAAUCGGAAUUACUGGGCGUAAAGCGCGCGUAGGUGGUUUGUUAAGUUGGAAGUGAAAGCCCCGGGCUCAACCUGGGAACUGCUUUCAAAACUGGCAAGCUAGAGUAUGGCAGAGGGUGGUGGAAUUUCCUGUGUAGCGGUGAAAUGCGUAGAUAUAGGAAGGAACACCAGUGGCGAAGGCGACCACCUGGGCUAAUACUGACACUGAGGUGCGAAAGCGUGGGGAGCAAACAGG
rnacentral:rRNA from 2 species